rnacentral:rRNA from 1 species
AGGGUUUGAUCCUGGCUCAGAUUGAACGCUGGCGGCAUGCCUAACACAUGCAAGUCGAACGGUAACAGAUAAGAUGAUCUCUUCGGAGUGAAUCUUUGCUGACGAGUGGCGGACGGGUGAGUAAUGCUUGGGAAUCUGCCCAAUAGUGGGGGAAAACUCGGGGAAACCCGGGCUAAUACCGCAUAAUCUCUACGGAGGAAAGAGGGCCUCUACAUGUAAGCUCUCGCUAAUGGAUGAGCCCAAGUCAGAUUAGCUUGUUGGUAAGGUAAUGGCUUACCAAGGCUACGAUCUGUAGCUGGUCUGAGAGGAUGAUCAGCCACACUGGGACUGAGACACGGCCCAGACUCCUACGGGAGGCAGCAGUGGGGAAUAUUGCACAAUGGGCGCAAGCCUGAUGCAGCAAUGCCGCGUGUGUGAAGAAGGCUCUAGGGUUGUAAAGCACUUUCAAUAGAGAAGAAAAGCUUGAGGUUAAUACCUUCAAGCCUUGACGUAACCUAUACAAGAAGCACCGGCUAAUUCCGUGCCAGCAGCCGCGGUAAUACGGGAGGUGCGAGCGUUAAUCGGAAUUACUGGGCGUAAAGCGAGCGUAGGCUGUUAAUUAAGUCGAAUGUGAAAUCCCCGGGCUC